rnacentral:lncRNA from 1 species
GGUGAGGUGAUUAGGCGGGACAUGGAACAGUUACAGCUUACCGAGGACAUGACCCUAGAUAGGAAGGUCUGGAAGACGCGAAUUACGGCAGAAGAGUAGGGCCAGAUUGGGUCGCUAGUGUAGGGAGUUACUUGGUGGGUUUUUUUUUUUUUUUUUCGUUAUGAUUCCGUAUUCAGUGUUCCAUGCUUAUUACGAAUCUGUGUGCUUUCCGCUGCUUUCCUCUGUUUUAUAUUCCUUAUGGGUGCCGUAUUUAUGUUAUGUCAUCUGCUUCUGUGCUUUACUAUGUGUUUGUGUGAUAUCUUGUGCCUUGAGCCGGGAGUCUUUCGGAAACAGCCUUUCUACUUCAUCAGAGGUAGAGGUAUGGACUGCGUACAUCUUACCCCCCCAGACCCCACUAAGUGGGAAUACACUGGGUUUGUUGUUGUUGUUAUAAAUGAGAGCAGAUCACUAGGCAUUUGGCCUUGAAAACUAUAAGC